rnacentral:tRNA from 1 species
UAUUAGGUAGUUAACUAAUGGUAUAUCAGGCUCAUAACCUGAAGGUCGUAGGUUCAAAUCCUACCCCCGCAACCA